AGAGAGAGACAUGCGCGCAUAUCAAUAAGCGGAGGAAAAGAAACUAACAAGGAUUCCCCUAGUAACGGCGAGUGAAGCGGGAAGAGCUCGAAUUUGAAAUCUUAAAGGGUUUCCCUUUACGAAUUGUAGUUUAAAGAAGUGUUUUCUGUUGAGGUUUUGGUAAAAGUUCUUUGGAAUAGGACAUCAUAGAGGGUGAGAAUCCCGUAUUUGACCUUUACUUUCAACUUUGUGAUACACUUUCAAAGAGUCGGAUUGUUUGGGAAUGCAGUCCAAAAUGGGUGGUAAAUUUCAUCUAAAGCUAAAUAUUGGCGAGAGACCGAUAGCGAACAAGUACCGUGAGGGAAAGAUGAAAAGAACUUUGAAAAGAGAGUUAAACAGUACGUGAAAUUGUCAAAAGGGAAGCGUUUGACACCAGUGUUGUUUUUCUGAAAAUCAAUUAAAGAACUGUUUAUGCUAAGCUGUUUAGACUUUAUCAGCUAAUCUGUUUAGUUUUGAGCUUUUCUUUAAUGCACUUUUCAGUUAACAAGUCAACAUCAAUUUCUUUUGCUGUAAAAAAGCUUGAGGAAGGUGGCUUGAGAUUCGUCUUAAGUGUUUAUAGCCUCUUGCCUAUGCAGUCGGAGAGAUUGAGGUCUGCAGCGUAGAUCCUUCGGGGCUAAAUGCAUUUGUGCUAAGUUAUAGCAUUUUAUAGACAACUUGUUGACUAUGAUUUGUCUUGUAGCUUACUCGCUUAUGUUAUUUUACCUACGCUUAGGAUGUUGACGCAUGAGAUAUACGC
rnacentral:rRNA from 1 species